GCCGGGCCUGGUGGCUCAGGCCUGUAAUCCCAGCACUUUGGGAGGCUGAGGUUGGCGGAUCACCUGAGGUCAGGAGUUCAAGACCAGCCUGGCCAACAAGGUGAAACCCCAUCUCUA
rfam:Pan troglodytes isolate Yerkes chimp pedigree #C0471 (Clint) chromosome 15, whole genome shotgun sequence.